rnacentral:misc_RNA from 1 species
AAGUCGUAACAAGGUUUCCGUAGGUGAACCUGCGGAAGGAUCAUUCUUGAUUUAGCCGAAAGGCUUAAUUGAAUAACCAAACACGCCUGUGAACCGUCGGUCUCCGGACCGUUUUUACACCUAAACAAGUCGUCCAGAACGUGAAUUAUAUAUAACAUAAUAAAA